CAAUUAUACUUGAAUAAGAUAAAUUUUAAAAAUGAAUCGUCUCUGUUUACAACACACCCGACAGGAAUCUGUGUUCAUCAUGACAAGAGGCACAAAGCUUGUGGCUUUCCUAUGAACAAAUACCCAACACGU